rnacentral:rRNA from 1 species
AUUGAACGCUGGCGGCAUGCUUUACACAUGCAAGUCGAACGGCAGCGCGGGCUUCGGCCUGGCGGCGAGUGGCGAACGGGUGAGUAAUACAUCGGAACGUGCCCAGUAGUGGGGGAUAGCUCGGCGAAAGCCGGAUUAAUACCGCAUACGACCUGAGGGUGAAAGCGGGGGAUCUUCGGACCUAGCGCUAUUGGAGCGGCCGAUGGCAGAUUAGCUAGUUGGUGGGGUAAAGGCCUACCAAGGCGACGAUCUGUAGCUGGUCUGAGAGGACGACCAGCCACACUGGGACUGAGACACGGCCCAGACUCCUACGGGAGGCAGCAGUGGGGAAUUUUGGACAAUGGGCGAAAGCCUGAUCCAGCAAUGCCGCGUGUGUGAUGAAGGACUUCGGGUUGUAAAGCACUUUUGGCGGGAACGAAAAGGACUGUGCCAAUACCACGGUUCGAUGACGGUACCCGCAGAAUAAGCACCGGCUAACUACGUG